GACGAACGCUGGCGGCGUGCUUAACACAUGCAAGUCGAACGGAAAGGCCCUGCUUUUGUGGGGUGCUCGAGUGGCGAACGGGUGAGUAACACGUGAGUAACCUGCCCUUGACUUUGGGAUAACUUCAGGAAACUGGGGCUAAUACCGGAUAGGAGCUCCUGCUGCAUGGUGGGGGUUGGAAAGUUUCGGCGGUUGGGGAUGGACUCGCGGCUUAUCAGCUUGUUGGUGGGGUAGUGGCUUACCAAGGCUUUGACGGGUAGCCGGCCUGAGAGGGUGACCGGCCACGUUGGGACUGGGAUACGGCCCAGACUCCUACGGGAGGCAACGGUGGGGAAUAUUACACAAUGGGCGGAAGCCUGAUGCAGCAACGCCGCGUGCGGGAUGACGGGCUUCGGGUUGUAAACCGCUUUCGCCUGUGACGAAGCGUGAGUGACGGUAAUGGGUAAAGAAGCACCGGCUAACUACGUG
rnacentral:rRNA from 1 species